AGCAGCCGCGGUAAUUCCAGCUCCAAUAGCGUAUAUUAAAGUUGUUGCAGUUAAAAAGCUCGUAGUUGAAUUUCGGGAUCAUCAGGUUGGUCGUGCCUCUGGUAUGUACUGAUUUCGAUGGUCCCUCCUUCUUGAAGAGCCGUAAUGCCAUUAAUUUGGUGUUGCGGGGAAUCAGGACUGUUACUUUGAAAAAAUUAGAGUGUUUAAAGCAGGCAAUCGCUUGAAUACAUUAGCAUGGAAUAAUGAAAUAGGACGUUCGAUCCUAUUUUGUUGGUUUU
rnacentral:rRNA from 1 species